UACAGAGGGUGCGAGCGUUAAUCAGAAUUACUGGGCGUAAAGCGCGCGUAGGCGGCUUUGCAAGUCGGGUGUGAAAUCCCCAGGCUUAACCUGGGAACUGCAUUCGAGACUGCAUUGCUAGAGUAUGGGAGAGGGAAGUGGAAUUUCAGGUGUAGCGGUGAAAUGCGUAGAUAUCUGAAGGAACAUCAGUGGCGAAAGCGACUUCCUGGACCAAUACUGACGCUCAUGUGCGAAAGCGUGGGGAGCAAACAGG
rnacentral:rRNA from 1 species